GAUGAACGCUGGCGGCGUGCCUAAUACAUGCAAGUCGAGCGAACAGACGAGGAGCUUGCUCCUCUGACGUUAGCGGCGGACGGGUGAGUAACACGUGGAUAACCUACCUAUAAGACUGGGAUAACUUCGGGAAACCGGAGCUAAUACCGGAUAAUAUAUUGAACCGCAUGGUUCAAUAGUGAAAGACGGUUUUGCUGUCACUUAUAGAUGGAUCCGCGCCGCAUUAGCUAGUUGGUAAGGUAACGGCUUACCAAGGCAACGAUGCGUAGCCGACCUGAGAGGGUGAUCGGCCACACUGGAACUGAGACACGGUCCAGACUCCUACGGGAGGCAGCAGUAGGGAAUCUUCCGCAAUGGGCGAAAGCCUGACGGAGCAACGCCGCGUGAGUGAUGAAGGUCUUCGGCUCGUAAAACUCUGUUAUUAGGGAAGAACAAAUGUGUAAGUAAAUAUGCACGUCUUGACGGUACCUAAUCAGAAAGCCACGGCUAACUACGUG
rnacentral:rRNA from 1 species